UAUGGCAUCAUAGAAUGAUCAAAUAUUUAUAGGACUAAGAUGGGCAUGCGGAACAUUAGCUAGUUGGUAAGGUAACGGCUUACCAAGGCUACGAUGUUUAGGGGAUCUGAGAGGAUGGCCCCCCACACUGGUACUGAGACACGGACCAGACUCCUACGGGAGGCAGCAGUAAGGAAUAUUGGUCAAUGGGCGGAAGCCUGAACCAGCCAUGCCGCGUGCAGGAAGACGGCCCUACGGGUUGUAAACUGCUUUUAUACGGGAAUAAACCUCCGGUCGUGACCGGAGCUGAAUGUACUGUAAGAAUAAGGAUCGGCUAACUCCGUGCCAGCAGCCGCGGUAAUACGGAGGAUCCAAGCGUUAUCCGGAUUUAUUGGGUUUAAAGGGUGCGUAGGUGGCCUGUUAAGUCAGGGGUGAAAGACGGUAGCUCAACUAUCGCAGUGCCCUUGAUACUGAUGGGCUUGAAUGGACUAGAGGUAGGCGGAAUGUGACAAGUAGCGGUGAAAUGCAUAGAUAUGUCACAGAACACCAAUUGCGAAGGCAGCUUACUAUGGUUUUAUUGA
rnacentral:rRNA from 1 species